GACGAACGCUGGCGGCGUGCUUAACACAUGCAAGUCGAACGGAAAGGCCCUGCUUUUGUGGGGUGCUCGAGUGGCGAACGGGUGAGUAACACGUGAGUAACCUGCCCUUGACUUUGGGAUAACUUCAGGAAACUGGGGCUAAUACCGGAUAGGAGCUCCUGCUGCAUGGUGGGGGUUGGAAAGUUUCGGCGGUUGGGGAUGGACUCGCGGCUUAUCAGCUUGUUGGUGGGGUAGUGGCUUACCAAGGCUUUGACGGGUAGCCGGCCUGAGAGGGUGACCGGCCACAUUGGGACUGGGAUACGGCCCAGACUCCUACGGGAGGCAGCAGUGGGGAAUAUUGCACAAUGGGCGGAAGCCUGGUGCAGCAACGCCGCGUGCGGGAUGACGGCCUUCGGGUUGUAAACCGCUUUCGCCUGUGACGAAGCGUGAGUGACGGUAAUGGGUAAAGAAGCACCGGCUAACUACGU
rnacentral:rRNA from 1 species